ensembl:snRNA U6 U6 spliceosomal RNA
GUGCUCGCUUUGGCAGCACAUAUACUAAAAUUGGAAUGAUACAGGGCCCCUGCUCAAGGAUAACAUGCAAAUUCGUGAAGCAUUCCAUAUUUUU